rfam:Phaseolus vulgaris cultivar G19833 chromosome 2, whole genome shotgun sequence.
AACCCAUGAUUUGGGCAUUUUCUCAAUAUUAUCUUCAAUCUUUUCCAUGUCUCAAAGAAGACUUCAUAUACUCCUUGUCUGAACAUAGAGAUUUCAGACUUUGCUU